rnacentral:SRP_RNA from 2 species
GCCAGGCAUGGUGGCGCAUGCCUGUAAUCCCAGCUACUUGGGAGGCUGAGGCAGGAGAAUCGCUUGAGCCCAGGAGGCAGAGGUUGCAGUGAGCCAGGAUCGCACCACUGCACUCCAGCCUGGGCUACAGAGUGAGACUCCAUCUCCA